rnacentral:lncRNA from 1 species
UGUAGUUCCAAUUAUGACUUUGAUUCCGAUAUGCUUCUUCCCCAGAAGAUGUCUUUAGGAUAUAAGUAAGACUGCAGCUUCCUGUAUAUUGUCAGGACUGUAGCUGUCAAUUGGCUUUGGGGAGCUAACUGAAGGGUCUGACUUAGAGGAUCUAAAUUCUGAACAGAUUAGGAUAUCCUCUCUGAUCUAAGGAACAAGAUAAUACAGGGAUGAAGAAGCCAGACAUCUGAUCCCAAAGAGCCACCAGAAAGGAAUGGGGAGAGAAAUAGUCAUCCUCUCAAAGGAAGGACAAGUUUGGAAUUCUGUGGUUAUUUCUGCCUGGUUGGCACUGAAUGAUGUGAGCUGAUGGUCACCAAGGAAAUCUUUACAGGGAGGCCAUUUUGAGAUGUUUGCGAAGAAACUUCUGAGGAUGUCCCUUUACAGAGCAGCAGGAGAUUUGCUCUCUGUGUCAGCCCUUGCAUCUCUGUACUGGAGAGACUAAAUGGAGAUCCACAAGCUGAAAAGCCUGCAAGCUACCUGGUGAUUACCACAGAGGGGAUUUCGAUCAGCAUGGUGAGAGGAGUGAUUGCAUUUCCUCCGCAUCCGUUCAGUCUUCCCUUUGGCUUUUGAGAUCUACAGAGGAUUGAAAGGCAAGUGAAGUGAUGGGUUCGCUGACUCAGCCCUUUGGGUACCUCUUUACUUUGGAUAGA